rnacentral:rRNA from 1 species
CCUACGGGAGGCAGCAGUGAGGAAUAUUGGUCAAUGGACGAGAGUCUGAACCAGCCAUGUAGCGUGAAGGAUGACUGCCCUAUGGGUUGUAAACUUCUUUUAUAUGGGAAUAAACUGUUCCACGUGUGGGAUUUUGUAUGUACCAUAUGAAUAAGGAUCGGCUAACUCCGUGCCAGCAGCCGCGGUAAUACGGAGGAUCCGAGCGUUAUCCGGAUUUAUUGGGUUUAAAGGGAGCGUAGGUGGAUUGUUAAGUCAGUUGUGAAAGUUUGCGGCUCAACCGUAAAAUUGCAGUUGAUACUGGCAGUCUUGAGUACAGUAGAGGUGGGCGGAAUUCGUGGUGUAGCGGUGAAAUGCUUAGAUAUCACGAAGAACUCCGAUUGCGAAGGCAGUUCACUGGACUGCAACUGACACUGAGGCUCGAAAGUGUGGGUAUCAAACAGGAUUAGAUACCCCAGUAGUC